rnacentral:rRNA from 1 species
ACAUGCAAGCCGAGCGGUAUGGUUUCUUCGGAAACCAGAGAGCGGCGUACGGGUGCGGAACACGUGUGCAACCUGCCUUUAUCUGGGGGAUAGCCUUUCGAAAGGAAGAUUAAUACCCCAUAAUAUAUUAAGUGGCAUCACUUGAUAUUGAAAACUCCGGUGGAUAGAGAUGGGCACGCGCAAGAUUAGAUAGUUGGUGAGGUAACGGCUCACCAAGUCAGUGAUCUUUAGGGGGCCUGAGAGGGUGAUCCCCCACACUGGUACUGAGACACGGACCAGACUCCUACGGGAGGCAGCAGUGAGGAAUAUUGGACAAUGGGUGAAAGCCUGAUCCAGCCAUCCCGCGUGAAGGACGACGGCCCUAUGGGUUGUAAACUUCUUUUGUAUAGGGAUAAACCUAGAUACGUGUAUCUAGCUGAAGGUACUAUACGAAUAAGCACCGGCUAACUCCGUGCCAGCAGCCGCGGUAAUACGGAGGGUGCAAGCGUUAUCCGGAUUUAUUGGGUUUAAAGGGUCCGUAGGCGGAUCUGUAAGUCAGUGGUGAAAUCUCAUAGCUCAACUAUGAAACUGCCAUUGAUACUGCAGGUCUUGAGUAAGGUAGAAGUGGCUGGAAUAAGUAGUGUAGCGGUGAAAUGCAUAGAUAUUACUUAGAACACCAAUUGCGAAGGCAGGUCAUAUGUCUUAACUGACGCUGAUGGACGAAAGCGUGGGGAGCGAACAGGAUUAGAUACCCUGGUAGUCCACGCUGUAAACGAUGCUAACUCGUUUUUGGGUUUUCGGAUUCAGAGACUAAGCGAAAGUGAUAAGUUAGCCACCUGGGGAGUACGAACGCAAGUUUGAAACUCAAAGGAAUUGACGGGGGCCCGCACAAGCGGUGGAUUAUGUGGUUUAAUUCGAUGAUACGCGAGGAACCUUACCAAGGCUUAAAUGGGAAUUGACAGGCUUAGAAAUAGGCUUUUCUUCGGACAAUUUUCAAGGUGCUGCAUGGUUGUCGUCAGCUCGUGCCGUGAGGUGUUAGGUUAAGUCCUGCAACGAGCGCAACCCCUGUCACUAGUUGCCAUCAUUCAGUUGGGGACUCUAGUGAGACUGCCUACGCAAGUAGAGAGGAAGGUGGGGAUGACGUCAAAUCAUCACGGCCCUUACGCCUUGGGCCACACACGUAAUACAAUGGCCGGUACAGAGGGCAGCUACACAGCGAUGUGAUGCAAAUCUCGAAAGCCGGUCUCAGUUCGGAUUGGAGUCUGCAACUCGACUCUAUGAAGCUGGAAUCGCUAGUAAUCGCGCAUCAGCCAUGGCGCGGUGAAUACGUUCCCGGGCCUUGUACACACCGCCCGUCAAGCCAUGGAAGUCUGGGGUACCUGAAGUCGGUGACC